rnacentral:rRNA from 1 species
ACUCAAAGGAAUUGACGGGGGCCCGCACAAGCAGUGGAGUAUGUGGUUUAAUUCGAAGCAACGCGAAGAACCUUACCAGGGCUUGACAUAUAUCUGAAUAGUUGGGAAACUAGCUAGCCUUUCGGGGCAGAUAUACAGGUGGUGCAUGGUUGUCGUCAGCUCGUGUCGUGAGAUGUUGGGUUAAGUCCCGCAACGAGCGCAACCCCUAUUGUUAGUUGCCAUUAUUAAGUUAGGCACUCUAGCAAGACUGCCGGUGAUAAAUCGGAGGAAGGUGGGGACGAUGUCAAAUCAUCAUGCCCUAUAUGUCCUGGGCUACACACGUACUACAAUGGUCGUAACAAAGAGAAGCGAAACAGUGAUGUGGAGCAAAACUUUUAAAAAGCGGUCUCAGUUCGGAUUGAAGGCUGAAAUUCGCCUUUAUGAAGAUGGAAUUGCUAGUAAUGGCAGGUCAGCAUACUGCCGUGAAUACGUUCCCGGGCCUUGUACACACCGCCCGU